UACAGAGGUCUCAAGCGAUUGUUUCGGAUUCAUUGGGCGUUAAAGGGUGUCGUAGGCGGCGCGGUAAGUCGGGUGUGAAAUCUUGGAGCUUAACUCCGAAACUGCAUUCGAUACUGCCGUGCUUGAGGACUGGAGAGGAGACUGGAAUUUACGGUGUAGCGGUGAAAUGCGUAGAUAUCGUAAGGAAGACCAGUGGCGAAGGCGGGUCUGCUGGACAGUUCCUGACGCUGAGGCACGAAGGAUCAGGGGAGCAAACGGGAUU
rnacentral:rRNA from 1 species